rnacentral:lncRNA from 1 species
AUCUCACAUGCAGAGGACAGGGAAACAAAAAGGAUUCAGAGAGACCGAGUAACUUUCUGAAAAUCACCCAGAAAGAAAUGCAGUGAAUCCAGGACUCAGAUGUUUUGCUCCUAAGGGACUCCCCAGGAACUGCCA